ACUCAAAGGAAUUGACGGGUCCCCGCACAAGCGGCGGAGCAUGCGGCUUAAUUCGAUGCGACCCGAAGAACCUUACCUGGGUUUGACAUCAUGGGAAAAGCCGUAGAGAUACGGUGUCCGAAAGGGCCCAUGACAGGUGGUGCAUGGCUGUCGUCAGCUCGUGUCGUGAGAUGUUGGGUUAAGUCCCGCAACGAGCGCAACCCUUGUCUUAUGUUACCAGCGGGUUAUGCCGGGGACUCAUAAGAGACUGCCGGGGACAACUCGGAGGAAGGUGGGGACGACGUCAAGUCAUCAUGCCCCUUAUGCCCAGGGCUGCACGCAUGCUACAAUGGCCGGUACAACGGGCUGCGAUCCUGCGAAGGUGAGCGAAUCCCUUAAAGCCGGCCUCAGUUCAGAUUGGAGUCUGCAACUCGACUCCAUGAAGUCGGAGUCGCUAGUAAUCGCGAAUCAGCAAUGUCGCGGUGAAUGCGUUCUCGGGGAUUGCACACACCGCCCGU
rnacentral:rRNA from 1 species